AUUGAACGCUGGCGGCAUGCUUUACACAUGCAAGUCGAACGGUAACAGGCCUUCGGGUGCUGCCGAGUGGCGAACGGGUGAGUAAUGCAUCGGAACGUAACCAGAGGUGGGGGAUAACGCAGCAAAAGCUGUGCUAAUACAGCAUGUGAUCUGAGGAUGAAAGCGGGGGACCGAGCAGCAACUUUUGGCCUCGCGCCUUUGGAGCGGCCGAUGUCGGAUUAGCUAGUUGGCGGGGUAAAGGCCUACCAAGGCGACGAUCCGUAGCUGGUCUGAGAGGACGACCAGCCACACUGGAACUGAGACACGGCCCAGACUCCUACGGGAGGCAGCAGUGGGGAAUUUUGGACAAUGGGCGCAAGCCUGAUCCAGCAAUGCCGCGUGGGGGAAGAAGGCCUUCGGGUUGUAAACCGCUUUUGGCAGGAACGAAACGGUGUCCGCUAAUACCGGGCGCUAAUGACGGUACCUGCAGAAUAAGCACCGGCUAACUACGUG
rnacentral:rRNA from 1 species